rnacentral:hammerhead_ribozyme from 1 species
AUCCAGUUGACGAGUCCCGAAUAGGACGAAACGCGCGUUAUGGAU